UACGUAGGUGGCAAGCGUUGUCCGGAUUUACUGGGCGUAAAGAGCGCGCAGGCGGUCAGCCAAAGUCGAAUGUGAAAGCCCCCGGCUCAACUGGGGAGGGUCAUUCGAUACUGGCCGACUCGAAGGCAGGAGAGGGAAGCGGAAUUCCCGGUGUAGUGGUGAAAUGCGCAGAUAUCAGGAAGAACACCCGUGGCGAAGGCGGCUCUCUGGGACGGUACU
rnacentral:rRNA from 1 species